GCGUGUGGAGCAGAGUCCUAGGAAAAGAAAGCUGGUGGCAGAUUCUUUAGAGGGCUUGGUUUCCAGGCUAAGGAGAUUUGGUUUUAGAUUGCAGUCACUUGGGAACUAUUGAUCUGGACAACACGUGCUUAGAAAGAAGAAACCACUUGCCUGGAGCUUUUGAUGUUCAGAGAGCAGGUCACCAGUUAAUGGUCAUUAUUUAUGGGGGAGCUGAGGGGAUGGAGGAAGCUCGACAUCACCAGCCUGGGCCCCUGUAAGAAGACAGGCAGCUUGUCAGUCUGUGAACCACUGACUGUGCAAACCCAUGAAGGAGCCACUCGGUGAACUUGAAGGAAGGUCCCUGAAUGACUAGCUGAACAGCAAAGGUGGCUGAGAGAAUAUGGUUCCUGGAUGCCAGACAGGGACCCAGGCUACCCUGAUGUGAGAGAACACCGAGCAGAACGCAGUGUGGAGUGGUGGGGCCUGUGGAAACCUGGAGAGCGCAUGUCCCACUGAAGCCAUUCGGGUGCUGGCCAAAGCAAUUGUCUGUAGAUGAGUUUGUCCCAGGCACCAUGAAUCUGCAACCUCUGGCCUACAGACAUGUAAAGCCCCUUCCAGAGGGUCUCCUGCCACCCACAUUUCCCUUUCUGUAACAUUUAUUGUUUUAUAGUAAUUAUUUGUUUAUUACAGCCUUUCCCCCUAGGAUGUAAACUCCAUUUGGGCAGGUACCUGUUUUAUUCUCAACUCUAUCCCUAGCUUUAACAAAGAACUGGCACAUAGUAGGUGCUUAAUAAAUACCUAUAAAAUCACAUAUAGAGAAAUAUAUAAUAUAUAUAUUAUAAAUUAUAUAC